CCUACGGGUGGCAGCAGUGAGGAAUAUUGGUCAAUGGGCGGGAGCCUGAACCAGCCAAGCCGCGUGAGGGAAGAAGGUACAGCGUAUCGUAAACCUCUUUUGUCAGGGAACAAAGGCGGGGACUAGUCCCCGGAUGAGGGUACCUGAAGAAAAAGCAUAGGCUAACUCCGUGCCAGCAGCCGCGGUAAUACGGGGGAUGCGAGCGUUAUCCGGAUUUAUUGGGUUUAAAGGGUGCGCAGGGGGCCUGUUAAGUCAGCGGUAAACGCCCGGGGCCAAACCCCGGCGAGCCGUUGAAACUGGCGGGCUGGAGUUGGAGAGAAGUACGCGGAAUGCGCGGUGUAGCGGUGAAAUGCUUAGAUAUCGCGCAGAACCCCGAUUGCGAAGGCAGCGUACCGGCUCCACACUGACGCUGAGGUACGAAAGCGUGGGUAGCGAACAGGAUUAGAUACCCCAGUAGUC
rnacentral:rRNA from 1 species